GAGCCGUUGACUUAGGCCGUUCUCUCGGCCCAGAGUCCCCGCAGCAAUGGCGAGUCAGUCGCAGGGUAUCCAGCAGCCACUGCAGGCCUAGAAGUGGGGAGCCAAGAAGGUGUCCAAGGCCCACAAGCAAAAGAACAGGAGGCUGAAGCAGACCAAAGAAGCAGCCCAGGCUGAAAUUGAACAGUACCACCUGCAGAGGGAGGAGUUCAAGGCCAAGGCAACUGGGGUCCCAUGGCAGUGGUAGCAGUGAAGUGGAGAAGGAGACCCUCCAGAACUACUUCAAGCGGAACAGGGAUGAAGUUCUGGAUAACCUCUUGGCCUUUGUGUGUAACACCCAGCUAGAAAUCUAUGAAAACUACCGCAAAAACAGAUAG